rnacentral:rRNA from 1 species
ACGCGAAGAACCUUACCUGGGCUCGAACGGCUUUGGAACAGGGUGGAAACACCUUCUUCCCGCAAGGGACCGGAGUCGAGGUGCUGCAUGGCUGUCGUCAGCUCGUGUCGUGAGAUGUUGGGUUAAGCCCCGCAACGAGCGCAACCCUUGUCCUGUGUUGCCACUCCCGUAAGGGAAGCACUCGCAGGAGACCGCCAGCGAUAAGCUGGAGGAAGGUGGGGAUGAUGUCAAGUCAUCAUGGCCUUUAUGUCCAGGGCUACACACGUGCUACAAUGGACGGUACAAAGCGCUGCUAACCCGCGAGGGGGAGCCAAUCGCAAAAAACCGUUCUCAGUUCGGAUCGCAGGCUGCAACCCGCCUGCGUGAAGCUGGAAUCGCUAGCAAUGGCGUAUCAGAACGACGCCGUGAAUACGUUCCCGGGUCUUGUACACACCG